AGGGUCUUGCUCUGUCGUCCAGGCUGAAGUGCACUGGCAUGAUCUCAGCUCAUUGCAACCUCCACCUUCUGGGCUCAAGCAAUCCUCUUACCUUAGCCUCCUGAGUAACUGAGACCACAAGCAUGCACCACCAUACCAGGUAAGAAGAAAAAGUUAGCACUACAAUGCUAUAGUCACAUUUAUGUUUUUGUUUUCACACGCACUUCAUAUCUAAGACUCAGUGGGCCUCACCAAGAAACAAAGAAUUUGCUCUAUCCUCAACGUUGCAAAAUGUCUGGGCAUAGGCUGUGUUGCAUUUCUCACGUACAGUAUGAGCAGAGAAGCUUACCCAUUCUGUUGCAGCAGGUCCAGAGAAGUCUCACUGAAGUGCUUUGGUUUUUAUUGAAUUGCAUGCUUAUUAUGUCUGGACAAGAAGAUGUGUACAUGAAGAGGAUGUUUUGAUAGGCCUGACCUGAGAGCUGUAUGCUCACAAUAAAAGCUAGAGACACAGUCAUUUGACAUUAAAACAACUGAGAAAAGAUGAUGAAUCUUGAGAAGAAAUUGGGAUAUUAUGUACAAAAGAGGCGUUAUAAUACUUUAUGGCCAAAACGAAAACAAAAGAAAAAAAAAGCAAGAAAACAAACAAAAUCAAAAAACAAAAAAACUAGCAAUGUUCCACCAUAAAGUUUAAAUGGAUCUUACUUUGGUUCAGACUUUAGAAACGAUUGACAUCUGGGUUAUGUAUAUUUCACUUCCCACGUUCUGCACGGUAAUCUUCUAAACUUUAGCAACUUAUCUUAUUAAUUCCUUUAGGCUUGAUAUGAAGCCUGCCCCAGAUAAGUGCCUCAUAAAAGAAGAAUAAACAAAUGAAUGAAUAAAAGCAAAUGCCAUACUAUAGACUUUUGAGUAAAAAGAUUUUCUCUACAACAUAUUAAAAGAAUGAACCAGCAGAACAAACUUCAAACUUUAAAACAAUGUUGUUUAAGUUAGUCAUGUCUGAGAUGAUAAAUAAAUCAACAGGAGAAAAGUGAACUUCAAAACAUGUAUCUUUAGGAGGAUUUGAAUUGGAAAACCACUGACACUUAAUUGCUAAAGUGACUUUGACUAGUUAUUCAUCUAUGGAAUAGGAAGAAAACUUACUUGAUCGUGUUGGCAUGAUGAUUAAACAUGACUUAUGUACAUGCAAGUGCUGAGCACUAGUCUAUAACCUCUAUGGGCAUUGCGAUCACUAUGACAUAUCCAGAGACUAGCUCAAUUUCUAGUACAUUGGAGGCACUUGAUAAAUGUUUCCUUAAUUUGAAAUCUGAGAACAGGACAUUAAGCAACCUGAAGCAUCUGACAUUUGUCAUGUAGCCAAAUGCAUACUCAUUGAGCAAGAUGACUGAUGAUGAUUGGUCAUGAUGAUGACAGCAAUGAUGAUAAUGAUGACGAUAGUGAGGACGACAAACUCAUGCCUUGAUGUACUUUUUCAAGAGUUAGGUGUUUUCCUUUUAAUAUUUUUCAGAAUUUUUUUAACACAAUUGCACUCAGGAAUUGGAAUAUCAUUUGUAUUUCAUUUUUUAAAUCAGUGAGCAAAAUGAGCAGGAAUAAAGGGAGUUAAAAUAGG